rnacentral:misc_RNA from 1 species
GGUUAACUUGCAAGACUGCACUUUCGUUCGACAAACUUUCACUGUCAUCAGCCACUCUUACUGUGCAGAUUUGAGGCAAUAUACGGGAUGGAUCUACAUUGGGCUGGUGAUGGUAUCUGCUGCUGUAAUGCUGUCAUUGAUCUUCUGGGUAAUCUAUGCAAGAGAGCGAAGGCAUCGUGUAUAUACCAAGCAGUCAAUGUCCAGAGACGUGGAAGGACGAGACAAGGCCCCAUAAAGAUGUGCUA